GAACGCACAUUGCGCCCGCCCGUAUUCUGGCGGGCAUGCCUGUUCGAGCGUCAUUUCAACCCUCAAGCCCCCGGGCUUGGUGUUGGGGAUCGGCCGCCCUCUCCGGCGCGCCGGCCCCGAAAUCUAGUGGCGGUCUCGCUGUAGCCUCCUCUGCGUAGUAGCACACCUCGCACCGGAACGCAGCCUGGCCACGCCGUUAAACCCCCCACUUCUGAAGGUUGACCUCGGAUCAGGUAGGAAUACCCGCUGAACUUAAG
rnacentral:misc_RNA from 1 species